rnacentral:rRNA from 1 species
UUGGUGAGUGGCGGACGGGUGAGUAACACGUGGGUAACCUGCCCAAAAGUGGGGGAUAACAUUUGGAAACAAGUGCUAAUACCGCAUAACAACUGCUUUCACAUGAUCGCAGCUUGAAAGAUGGCUCUGCUAUCGCUUUUGGAUGGACCCGCGGCGUAUUAGCUAGUUGGUGAGGUAAUAGCUCACCAAGGCAAUGAUACGUAGCCGACCUGAGAGGGUAAUCGGCCACAUUGGGACUGAGACACGGCCCAAACUCCUACGGGAGGCAGCAGUAGGGAAUCUUCCACAAUGGGCGAAAGCCUGAUGGAGCAAUGCCGCGUGAGUGAAGAAGGUUUUCGGAUCGUAAAACUCUGUUGUUGAAGAAGAACAUGCGUGAGAGUAACUGUUCACGUACUGACGGUAUUCAACCAGAAAGCCACGGCUAACUACGUGCCAGCAGCCGCGGUAAUACGUAGGUGGCAAGCGUUGUCCGGAUUUAUUGGGCGUAAAGAGAAUGUAGGCGGUUUAUUAAGUU